CAGUAGCCGCGGUAAAACGAAGGGUGCAAGCGUUACUCGGAAUUACUGGGCGUAAAGCGUGCGUAGGUGGUGGUUUAAGUCCGUUGUGAAAGCCCUGGGCUCAACCUGGGAAUUGCAGUGGAUACUGGGUCACUAGAGUGUGGUAGAGGAUAGUGGAAUUUCCGGUGUAGCAGUGAAAUGCGUAGAGAUCGGAAGGAACAUCUGUGGCGAAGGCGACUAUCUGGGCCAACACUGACACUGAGGCACGAAAGCGUGGGGAGCAAACAGGAUUAGAUACCCGUGUAGUCCCUGUCUCUUAUAA
rnacentral:rRNA from 1 species